rnacentral:tRNA from 2 species
GCACCGUUAGCUGAGAUGGAUUAGCGCAGGUUUGAAGAGCCUGAUAGAGUGGUUCGAUACCACUAUGGUGCA